GAUGAACGCUGACAGAAUGCUUAACACAUGCAAGUCAACUUGAAUUUGGGUUUUUAACUUAGGUUUGGGUGGCGGACGGGUGAGUAACGCGUAAAGAACUUGCCUCACAGCUAGGGACAACAUUUGGAAACGAAUGCUAAUACCUAAUAUUAUGGUAAUAGGGCAUCCUAUAAUUAUGAAAGCUAUAAGCGCUGUGAGAGAGCUUUGCGUCCCAUUAGCUAGUUGGAGAGGUAACGGCUCACCAAGGCGAUGAUGGGUAGCCGGCCUGAGAGGGUGAUCGGCCACAAGGGGACUGAGACACGGCCCUUACUCCUACGGGAGGCAGCAGUGGGGAAUAUUGGACAAUGGACCAAGAGUCUGAUCCAGCAAUUCUGUGUGCACGAUGAAGUUUUUCGGAAUGUAAAGUGCUUUCAGUUGGGAAGAAAGAAAUGACGGUACCAACAGAAGAAGUGACGGCUAAAUACGUG
rnacentral:rRNA from 1 species